CUGAGCUGCCCAGAGCUGACAUCUCACUAAAAGACAUCUCCAUUAGCUCAGGCCAGCAAGAGUUCCUGCCCUGUUUAAUUCAGGCUUCCUCGCUCUUUAAAUGAGACAUUUACUGGAAGACUUUACAGCAGUGCUUGCAGGCUGCUGAGUGUGGAGAGAUUGUGUUGAGUGGAAGAGUGAAAAUGGAAAUGUGAAUCAAAAGAGAAUCUGGGCGCUGACAAUAAGACUAAGAAGGAGAGUUAGCAUCAUUUCAAGAGGAGUGGAAACAAGUCCUAACCUGAUGUGUUCUUAAAACAAACCUCAGGACUGUCAGAAAAGACCAUUCCUCUGGCACUUUCUGAGCCUGCUAGUGCAGUA
rnacentral:lncRNA from 1 species